AUGGCUGUCGUCAGCUCGUGUCGUGAGAUGUUGGGUUAAGUCCCGCAACGAGCGCAACCCUCGUUCUAUGUUGCCAGCGGGUUAUGCCGGGGACUCAUAGGAGACUGCCGGGGUCAACUCGGAGGAAGGUGGGGAUGACGUCAAAUCAUCAUGCCCCUUAUGUCUUGGGCUUCACGCAUGCUACAAUGGCCAGUACAAAGGGCUGCGAUACCGCAAGGUGGAGCGAAUCCCAAAAAACUGGUCUCAGUUCGGAUUGGGGUCUGCAACUCGACCCCAUGAAGUCGGAGUCGCUAGUAAUCGCAGAUCAGCAACGCUGCGGUGAAUACGUUCCCGGGCCUUGUACACACCGCCCGUCAAGUCACGAAAGUCGGUAACACCCGAAGCCGGUGGCCCAACUCGCAAGAGGGGGAGCCGUCGAAGGUGGGACUGGCGAUUGGGACUAAGUCGUAACAAGGUAGCCGUACCGGAAGGUGCGGCUGGAUCACCUCCUUUCUAAGGAGCACUGGCACCUCGUUUGGGGUGUCCAGGUAGCCCGCCGCAGCCGGUUGUGUUGUGGGGGUUGCUCACGGGUGGAUCAUCGAUUAUUUGGCACCGCACAUCUGGUGUGCCGGCAAGUACUGGCCUUCCUUUCCAUCCCUUUGGGGUGGUGGGGGUCGUGGAAAGCUGGUGGCUGCGGGUGGGUGGUGUCUGGCACGUUGUUGGGUCCUGAGGGCUCGGACGCAAGUUCGGCUUUCUUGUGGGCCUCACCGCUUCUUCGUACCACCUGUCCUCCCAAUUUUUUUGUGGGGGGGUGGGGUUGGCGGGGUGCUGUGGUGGGGUGCUGCCCGUAUUUUGAGAACUACACAGUGGACGCGAGCAUCUUUGUAAGCAUUAUUUGUAGACCCAAGUUUUUAAGGGCGCACGGUGGAUGCCUUGGUACCAGGAACCGAAGAAGGACGUAGGAAUCUGCGAUAAGCCACGGGGAGUCGAUAACCAGACUGUGAUCCGUGGAUUUCCGAAUGGGGAAACCCGG
rnacentral:sRNA from 1 species